AUUGAACGCUGGCGGCAUGCUUUACACAUGCAAGUCGAACGGUAACAGGCCGCAAGGUGCUGACGAGUGGCGAACGGGUGAGUAAUGCAUCGGAACGUGCCCAGUCGUGGGGGAUAACGCAGCGAAAGCUGUGCUAAUACCGCAUACGAUCUAUGGAUGAAAGCGGGGGACCGUAAGGCCUCGCGCGAUUCGAGCGGCCGAUGUCAGAUUAGGUAGUUGGUGGGGUAAAGGCCUACCAAGCCAACGAUCUGUAGCUGGUCUGAGAGGACGACCAGCCACACUGGGACUGAGACACGGCCCAGACUCCUACGGGAGGCAGCAGUGGGGAAUUUUGGACAAUGGGCGCAAGCCUGAUCCAGCAAUGCCGCGUGCAGGAAGAAGGCCUUCGGGUUGUAAACUGCUUUUGUACGGAACGAAACGGUCUGGGUUAAUACCCUGGACUAAUGACGGUACCGUAAGAAUAAGCACCGGCUAACUACGUGCCAGCAGCCGCCGCCGUAA
rnacentral:rRNA from 1 species